rnacentral:rRNA from 1 species
UAGGGAAUCUUCCGCAAUGGACGCAAGUCUGACGGAGCAACGCCGCGUGAGUGAAGAAGGAUUUCGGUUCGUAAAACUCUGUUGUUAGAGAAGAACAGCGCAUAGAGUAACUGUUAUGCGUGUGACGGUAUCUAACCAGAAAGCCACGGCUAACUACGUGCCAGCAGCCGCGGUAAUACGUAGGUGGCAAGCGUUGUCCGGAUUUAUUGGGCGUAAAGCGAGCGCAGGCGGUCAAUUAAGUCUGAUGUGAAAGCCCCCGGCUCAACCGGGGAGGGUCAUUGGAAACUGGUUGACUUGAGUGCAGAAGGGGAGAGUGGAAUUCCAUGUGUAGCGGUGAAAUGCGUAGAUAUAUGGAGGAACACCAGUGGCGAAGGCGACUCUAUGGUCUGGAACUGACGCUGGGGUUCGAAAGCGUGGGUAGCAAAAAGG